rnacentral:lncRNA from 1 species
CCCAAUACAUUAUAAAUUGACAAAAACAAAAAAAAAAUAUAAUAUUUUUUCAUUGUCAAAAUAAUAAUAACAAACCAAAAAUCUCGUGGGUUUGAAAAUGACUAUUUUCCCACAACCAAACAAGGCCAGCACACGGGGUUUCAAUAUCAACAUUUUUAAUAACCAACAAUGCCUCCAAAAUCACCAUUUUUCCAACAACCAAACAAGGCCAACCCAUGCGUGUCAAAGCAGGCAUUCGGCAACAGCAACAAAUACAAUACACCAAAAGCUAGCGAGUCUGCAAUAGGAACAAAUACUCCAAAAAAAAGCUAAAAAAUCAAAAUUUAAUAUUGUUACUGUACUUAGACAAAGAAAUGCAUCUAGAUCUAUAAUAUUUGUUGUGAGAGAAACAAGAAGAAACUAAGAAUCUUUGUGUGGUGGCCGACGGCCGGCAAUGAUUCUGGCUGAAGGACGCUGUUCUAGGGUUGUGACGAACGGCCGGUGGCUAACAGGUGGUUGUGCUAAAGGGUUGACGAUGGUUGUGUGGUGCAUGAGGAGCGGCUGCCAUAUGCGUGUAUGGUGUCAAAGAGGAGUGGUUUCUGGCUGUAGAAAUAGGAUGUGUUGAUCCGAGUGUGAGGGAUGGUGUGCUACUGCUGUGUUUGAGAGAUAAGUGUGUGAGAUUUAGGUUUCCGUUUACUAUAUCUAUGUGUGUGUGUGUGUAUUAAAAUAUUUUUUAUUUUUAAAUGAAAGAACCUAAUGGUUUUUCGGUUCGGUUCAGUUUUGAGCCGAACCAAAUACAAACCAACUGAUUCUUUAAUUUCCAAACCAUUCGAAUUUUACCUUUAAAACUGAAUCGAACUGGAUUGAACAAUAUCGGUUCGGUUCGGUUCGAUAAAAGCCAAACCAAAUGUCCACCCCUACUCUAAACUAUGAAAACAAUAAACAAGAUUAAAAUAAUAAAGGAAAAUGGAAUGUAAUAAUAAAUGUAAGAUUAAAAUUUUCAGUGAGGCAUGAAGUGCACUAUGAUAUUAUUUUAAGUGGUUUUUCUAGUGGUGUUUAGAAGAUUUUCAAGGUUAAAUAGCUAAGCUAGCCUUAGCAUAAGGAUUAAAUCAUAUAUUUGAUAUAAUAUCAUUUUUUUUCUGUUUCAUUAAUCUUAUUUUAGGUUACAGUGUAUAUAAAAUUUAAAUGUAAUUUCCUGGAGG